rnacentral:rRNA from 1 species
AUCUAUGGCCAUACCACCCUGAACAUGCCUGAUCUCGUCUGAUCUUAGAAGCUAAGCAGGGUUGGGCCUGGUUAGACUUGGAUGGGAGAAAUUCAACAUAUCAUGUGAGGCUUCUCUGAACAACUAUAUGCU